GGCUUUAUAGUCAAUUAUAUGAUAUUAGAUUGCAAAUCUGAAGUAGUUUUAAACUGAGGCCU
rnacentral:tRNA from 1 species